UACCCCCCGCAGUCUCUGCCCGGCGGCUGCUCUUUCUGCUUCCGGGUCGAGGGUCAGCGAAAAAAAUGGUGCCGCCCGUGAAUGUCUCUCCGCUCAUCAAGGCGGGACGGUAUUCGGCCCUGCUCUUGGGAAUAGUCUACGGUUCGAAGCGCUAUGCUUAUCUAAAGCCACGGGCAGAAAAAGAACGGAAGCUAGCGGCAGAGCAAAAAAAGAAGGAGGAAGAAAUAAAGAAGGCUCAGCAGAAAUUGGAAGAAGCCCGAGGUGACACCAUAUUGAAAUAAAAGAUUUGCUGUGUUUUCUUCUGCAAGAGUUGUGGUCUAAUAAAGCUUUCUAUGAUGUAUUCAA